rnacentral:rRNA from 1 species
AUUGAACGCUGGCGGCAUGCCUUACACAUGCAAGUCGAACGGUAACAGGUCUUCGGAUGCUGACGAGUGGCGAACGGGUGAGUAAUGCAUCGGAACGUGCCCAGUAGUGGGGGAUAGCCCGGCGAAAGCCGGAUUAAUACCGCAUACGACCUGAGGGUGAAAGGGGGGGAUCGCAAGACCUCUCGCUAUUGGAGCGGCCGAUGUCAGAUUAGCUAGUUGGUGGGGUAAAGGCCUGCCAAGGCAACGAUCUGUAGUUGGUCUGAGAGGACGACUAGCCACACUGGGACUGAGACACGGCCCAGACUCCUACGGGAGGCAGCAGUGGGGAAUUUUGGACAAUGGGCGCAAGCCUGAUCCAGCAAUGCCGCGUGCAGGAAGAAGGCCUUCGGGUUGUAAACUGCUUUUGUCAGGGAAGAAAUCUUCUGGGUUAAUACCUCGGGAGGAUGACGGUACCUGAAGAAUAAGCACCGGCUAACUACGUGCCAGCAGCCGCAGUAACAC